UACAGAGGGGGCAAGCGUUGUCCGGAAUUACUGGGCGUACAGCGCGCGCAGGCGGACCGCCACGUGCCGUGUGACAAGCCACUGCUCAACAGUGGAGGGCCAGGGUACACGAGCGGUCUGGAGGCAGGGAGAGGGAUGUGGAAUGCCCGGUGGAGCGGUGAAAUGCGUAGAGAUCGGGCGGAACACCAGCGGCGAAGGCGGCAUCCUGGUCCUGUUCUGACGCUGAGGCGCGAAAGCUAGGGGAGCAAACAGG
rnacentral:rRNA from 1 species